UUCAAGAGAAACAAAUAAUAAGAGAUAUAAAACCAGUUAGUUUUUCAUUGUAUUGUAAUAACAAGAGUCAAUCCUAUACUGUCAUCAACUAUUUACAUGUUUGUACAGAUACCAGUGUAUCCACUGUCAGGUAAAUGAGUGUGUUAACGGCAAUAGACCAGUGUUAUUCAGGUUAAUCUGCAUCCAAGCUUCUUUGUACAAUCAGAAAUUGCACACUGGUAACUUAUAAUUAAUCAGUCUCCUCUAAGAAAAGGGAGGCAUCAGCACUAUAAUGUCAAGACACCUGUACAUGGAUUGUAGAUGGGAUCAGAAAGCCUUGCAAAGGUUAGAAUUCACGUUAGACGAACAUUGUUCCCUUAUUGGACUAUUGUUGACACACAGUCUGCUUCGUUUUGGUUCAGAUAUCCUGCAAUGCAAUAUCGCUGCUGCAAGCACAUCAACUAAACCAGAGUCGUCGGAUUCUUCAGAUUCCCUGUUCAAACUUCCACACCUUAAAUCAUUGGUUUCUCCAUUGAGAGAUUUACAGCAUCUCUUCUUUCCAUCUGAUUCUAAUCUAGAGGUAAUGGCUGGUAUUUGGCUUGGUGUUCCAGAGAAAUGCUUUGGCUUCAACCUGACAGACACCAUCUUCAAAGUGCGCUCUGUGUAGAACAUCAUCCAUGGAUGGCUUAAAACUUCUUCAGCAGUUAUCCUUGCAGCAACAUCCCUUGUAAGAAUCCGCUCAAGAAGAUCACGUGCAAG
rnacentral:misc_RNA from 1 species